AGUUAAAGGUUUGAUUUUGUAAUGCAAUUCUUAGUGAUCUGAAAAUUUUUCAAUCUGCCAUCAAAUGGGGCACUGAUUAUUUCUUGAAAUCCAGUUCCAAGCUUAAUCGCUUCUACAUCCAUGUUAGCCCAAUAGUUUUCAAGAAUAUUGAGAAUCAAUUUAAUUCUAACUUUCUCCAUAAACAUAUGUCUGGUAAAUGUUAAAAAUUAAUUGUGCAUUUUUUUAAGGUUGGAGAUUCAGUGAAAGAUCAUAAACGUUGGACAAGGCCAGAGAACAUGAAAAAAAUACACAAAUUGUACUACUGAUGAUCAAAAUAUUUGUGAAACAGAGAUUUUUGUUGAGACUUUUGUACCAAUGACCGCUACUUCUGUUGUAUUUUGCGGAAUCAAUUGUACCUAUGCCCGUCCACUUCUCAACAAAGCCAAACUAAAAUUCUUUCUAUCACAAUGGGAAGUAAACUGCCUCAUGGCCCUCAAAUGCUGACUAAUCAACCUCUACUUUGAAAUGGAGUGAAUACCAUCAUCACUCCAAUAUUAAAGGUACAAGCAAUCAUGCAUUUUGAUGCAAGUCGACUAUUUGCUACUUUAUAAACUCGAUUGGGUGCUAUCAUAACACCACAACAUCUCGAAUGCGUUUGCAAGCUGAAGUUGAAUUUUUGUGGCUUUCAAGCAUGUGGAAUCAAUUGCCAGUAGCCACUUUGAGUUUUUUAAUUUAUUUUCUUGUGCAGUCGAUAAAUCCAAUCAAUAAUUUUGUAUAUAGAGAAAGCAUACAAACAAUUAUAGCUCCAAUGUGAAGCUUAAUUUUGUUUGAUAUUGUGUUGCGAAGGAAACCAAGUGGUUCGAAAUAUGUGCUUGAGAUAGUAAUUGGGUCUUUGAUUACUUUGAUGCGAGAUGGAUUGACAAACUGAAGCAAGCAAUAAAAGCUGAGUUCAAGCAUCUUGUGUUCAAGGACAAUUAAGUACUGGUAUAAGAUACCAUUAUUCCUUCUGGCAUAUUUUU